GCAUAUGUGUGUAAGUUGUUGAGAGCGUAUGGUGGAUGCCUUGGCAUCAGGAGCCGAUGAAGGACGUGGGAAUCUGCGAUAAGCC
rnacentral:rRNA from 1 species